UUUAAUUAUUUUAGUUCUUUCGGUGUGUUGCUAAUUGUGCUCAAAAUCACUUUUGAUAAUGGAAUGUAUUUGUUACUAUUUGAAUGUACGUUUGCAACCAUUUUAGAAUGGAUACUGUGUUUCUGAAGAAAAUUCUUUGUUUAGCAGAAUCCUUAAAAAAAUCAAAUAAAGCAAGAAUUAAUAGAAAAACAACACAAGGUAAUCAACAUUGAAAUGAAGAAGAAAAAUGAGCGAGAAGAUUUUCGUAAAGUCUGAUAAAAUAAACUGAACAUAGGAAGAUGGGGCAUUGUUUUCAACCGAGUUUCAAGCUACUUCAUGUAAAAGUUACUACCAUAAAUUACGUAUUUCAAUAGUGGUAUUAUAUUAUAGUACGUAUUUAGUUUAUAACGUAUUUGGUUUACAACGCAUUUAUUAUGAAUUUAAUUAUUACAUAUAAUAAGGCAUAACAACAUUUCAGUA